rnacentral:rRNA from 1 species
UACGGAGGGUGCGAGCGUUAAUCGGAAUCACUGGGCGUAAAGCGCACGUAGGCGGCGCAUCAAGUCAGACGUGAAAGCCCUCGGCUCAACCGAGGAAUUGCGUUUGAAACUGGUGUGCUGGAGUCUCGGAGAGGUGAGUGGAAUUGCGAGUGUAGAGGUGAAAUUCGUAGAUAUUCGCAGGAACACCAGUGGCGAAGGCGGCCAACUGGACGAGUACUGACGCUGAGGUG